rnacentral:rRNA from 1 species
CUUCUUAGAGGACGGACUGGUGAGUAACGCGUGGACGACAGCGCCCACCCACGGGGACAGCCGGUAGAAAUACCGGAUAAUACCGGAUGAUCUCUUUUGGAACAAAGGCGAAAGAGGAAAGCGGCUCCGGCCGCGCGGGUGGACGGUCCGCGUCCUAUCAGCUAGUCGGCGGGGUGAAGGCCCGCCGAGGCGACGACGGGUAUCCGGCCUGAGAGGGUGGACGGACACAUUGGGACUGAGAUACGGCCCAGACUCCUACGGGAGGCAGCAGCUAAGAAUAUUCCGCAAUGGGGGGAACCCCGACGGAGCGACGCCGCGUGGACGACGAAGGCCGGAAGGUUGUAAAGUCCUUUUUUCCGCGAGGAAUAAGGCCGGGAGGGAAUGCCCGGCCGGUGACGGUAGCGGAGGAAUAAGCACCGGCUAA